AUGAACGCUGGCGGCGUGCCUAAUACAUGCAAGUCGCGCGAACGGACGAGAAGCUUGCUUCUCUGAUGUUAGCGGCGGACGGGUGAGUAACACGUGGAUAACCUACCUAUAAGACUGGGAUAACUUCGGGAAACCGUAGCUAAUACCGGAUAAUAUUUUGAACCGCAUGGUUCAAAAGUGAAAGACGGUCUUGCUGUCACUUAUAGAUGGAUCCGCGCUGCAUUAGCUAGUUGGUAAGGUAACGGCUUACCAAGGCAACGAUGCAUAGCCGACCUGAGAGGGUGAUCGGCCACACUGGAACUGAGACACGGUCCAGACUCCUACGGGAGGCAGCAGUAGGGAAUCUUCCGCAAUGGGCGAAAGCCUGACGGAGCAACGCCGCGUGAGUGAUGAAGGUCUUCGGAUCGUAAAACUCUGUUAUUAGGGAAGAACAUAUGUGUAAGUAACUGUGCACAUCUUGACGGUACCUAAUCAGAAAGCCACGGCCAACUACGUG
rnacentral:rRNA from 1 species